rnacentral:lncRNA from 1 species
CAACCGCAUAGCGUGGGUGUUUGCCCAAUGGUACACGGCGUCACCUCAAUCGUCAGAUACUAGCUGUUAGAUAUGCUAUUUACUCUGUACUGUGUGUGGGAGGGCUCAGAGGCAGCCAGUGGAUCGCCAUGCAUAUUUAACAGGAGGAUGAGUACAGUACAUACACUGGAACCAUACCAGAUUACUAGUAUUAAAACAACAUAUCCUGCAUCAUACAGUACUUUUAGCCGCUUGUAAUACGAAGCUCGUCUUACCAACCAUGGAGGACGGUUUGAAGACAAAGGUACAGUGCCUUCAGAAAGUAUUCAUACCCCUUGACUUAUUCCACAUUUUGUUGUGUUACAGCCUGAAUUCAAAAUGUAUUUUUUCUCACCCACCUACACACAAUACCCCAUAAUGACAAAGUAAAAACAUGUUUUUAGAAAUGUUUGCAAAUUUAAUGAAAAUGAAAUGCAGAAAGAUCUAAUUUAUGUAAGUAUUCACACCUCUGAGUCAAUACAUGUUAGAAUCACAUUUGGCAGCAAUUAUAGCUGUGAUUCUUUCUGGCUAAGUCUCUAAGAGCUUUGCACACCUGGAUUGUACGUUAUUAUUUUCAAAAUUCUUCAAGCUCUGUCAAAUUGGUUGUUGAUCAUUGCUAGACAACCAUUUCCAAGUCUUGCCAUAGAUUUUCAUGUAGAUUUAGGUCAAAACUGUAACUCGGACACUCAGGAACAUUCACUGUCUUCUUGGUAAGCAACUCCAGUGUAGAUUUGGCCUUGUCUUUUUGGUUAUUGUCCUGCUGAAAGGUGAAUUAAUCUCAGUGUCUAGUGGAAAGCAGACUGAACCAGGUUUUCCUCUAGGAUUUUGCCUGUGCCUAGCUCCAUUCAGUUUCUUCUUUAUCCUGAAAAACAUCCCAGUCCUUAACGACUAUAAGCGUACCCAUAACAUGAUGCCACCACUAUGUUUGCAAAUAUGGAGAAUGGUACUCCGUGAUGUAUUGGAUUUGCCCUAAACAUUUGCAUUCAGGGCAAUAAGUGAAUUGCUUUGCCACGUUUUUUUGCAGUAUUAUUUAGUGCCUUGUUACAUUAUACAGGCUUCCUUCUUUUCACUCUGUCAGCUAGGUUAUUAUUGUGGAGUAACUACAAUGUUGUUGAUACAUCCUCAGUUUUCUCCUAUCACAGCCAUUAAACUUUGUAACUAUUUUAAAGUCACCAUUGGCCUCAUGGUGAAAUCCCUGAAGAGUCAUUCAAAAAUCAUGUUAAACGCUAUUAUUGCACACAGUGAGUCUAUGCAACUUAUUAUGUGACUUGUUAAAAACCCCUAAGGUUGAUGUCCGCGCACAUGCGGAAAUCAAUUGGCAUAAUAAAACAAUCCCCAUAAAAAUCUGUACGUUUUGGUAUUUGGUAUUUUAUUAGGAUCCCUAUUAGCUGUUGCAAAAGCAGCAGCUACUCUUCCUGGAGUCCACACAAAACAUGAAACAUAAUACAGAAUGACAUAAUACAGAACUACAUACAUUUUUAAAAAGACACACGUAGUCUACAUAUCAAUGCAUACACACAAACUAUCUAGGUCAAAUAGGGGAGAGGCGUUGUUAUUUGAGCAAUAUGUGUAACAAUGCCUUCUAGUAGGAGAGGGGGGGGGGGUGUAGGAAUCAGGAGCAGGAGAGCAAAGAAGUUCCAGUGGCACAAAAUGUUUAAUCAGGCGGUCCUGAACUCACAAUACAAACAAGUGGGAAAAACACGCACAAACGUAGUCGCCACCCACAGAGAAACUAAAUGCACACACGGAGGAGA